rnacentral:lncRNA from 10 species
AGUGUUUGUACCAGCUCUUCUUUGUAUGUCUGUUAGAAUUUGGCUGUGAAUUCACCGGAUCUGGGCCUUUUAUGACAUCUUCUGUAACCAGAAGCACUCCAAGAACAACACUUUCAUUCAUGGACUUAACAACUACAUUAGAUCAUACCAGCCUGUCACUUCAAAGUCACCAGUGUCAAGGAACAUUUCAAAUUGGCUUAAAGCAUUGUUUUGGAGGUGUGAAUAAUGAAGCCAAGGACAUUAGCAACAUCAUGAAAGCAGGCAUCAAGUGAAUAGAGAAGAUUCUAUGGAUGUAGAAGAGGUCCCUGGGUUUCCGAAUUGCCACUGGAUUGCCUCUAUCAAAUACACAAGAGUUUCAUGAGUGAGAAAUAACCUUCUGUUGCUUUAAAUCUUGGGUUGUGCAAUACAUCAGUGAGCCUACCAUGACUAAUACAUUCUAUGGAUGCAGAUUUCUCUUCUCUGGCCAUUGACAUGAGUGUGCUUUCUGGAUGCAGUCACAGGGGACCCAAGAUUCUUGGACAGAAUUCUCGCCGGGAGCCAACUCAGCCUGAUCUGCUGGCAUCUCUCAAGUAUCAGAAGUCAACAAAAUGGUUUGCCUUGAAGACUUGGCCAGAGCAGCAGCCAAACCUUGAAGGGCAAUAUCCUUACCAACAUGUGAUCUGAAGGAGCUCUGAACCCUCCAGUGAGACAUCAGCCCAUCAGACUCACAGAGAACAGCAGGAAGGCCAAAGACUCAAGAUUUAUCUAUCCUUGAAGUGAGCAAAAUUCCUUGUUAUUCAGUGAUGCUGAUUACAACAGGCCUCCGUUAUACGAAGGGAAAACAUCCCAGACCCCCCAGUGAAUGCCUGAAACUGGAUUCUACUGAACCCUGAGAUGGUACUAAGUGACUAACGGGUGAAUAGCGUGUACAGCAUGGAUACACUAGACAAAGGGAGGAUUCGCAUCCCGGGCUGGUCAGCAAGAGGUUUCAUCACCCCACUCAAAAUGGCAGGACCGUAUGAACCUGAAUCCAGAGAAACGGCUCAUCAGUCUCCAAUCCUCUGAUUUUCUAAACCAGGACUACAUUAUAUUAAAACCAGAAAAAGCAAUACCUCUUUUCACAGAAUGGACUUUCUGGUGGAAAUGGGAGGAACCAAAAGAAGGCUGACUUCUUCAUUUUGACACCCUGCCCUGACUGCAGAACGUGAUUUCCCUAAAAGACUGAAUGUUAACCUCAAAGCCUGGUCAACCAACAUGCAGGAGAAAUCUUGACCAAGGCUCUGAGCAUGCUGUGGUCCCAGUGGUGAGGGUGUGAUAUGCACUGUCUGUUCCUGGAGUCACAGUGCUCAUCUUGUGGUAAAGACCUCUUGGAAGAAUGUCUUCAAAGGCACAUCUCCAGCUGGGAGUCC